ensembl:lncRNA
AAGUGAGUGUGUGUAAGAGUAUCAAAGUGAGUGUGUGUUAAGAGUAUCAAAGUGAGUGUGUGUUAGUGUAUUAAAGUGAGUGUGUGUUAGUGUAUUAAAGUGAGUGUGUGUUAGUUGUAUUAAAGUGAGUGUUGUUAGUGUAUUAAAGUGAGUGUGUGUUAGUGUAUUAAAGUGAGUGUGUGUUAGUGUAUAAAGUGAGUGUGUGUUAGUGUAUUAAAGUGAGUGUGUGUUAAGAUGUGUGUUAGUGUAAUAAAGUGAGUGUGUGUUAGUGUAUUAAAGUGAGUGUGGUGUAUAGUGUAGUGUGUGUUAGUGUAUUAAAGUGAGUGUGUGUUAGUGUAUUAAAGUGAGUGUGUGUUAAGAGUAUCAAAGUGAGUGGGUGUUAGUGUAUUAAAGUGAGUGUGUGUUAGUGUAUUAAAGUGAGUGUAUAAGUGUGUGUGAAGAGUAUCAAAGUGAGUGUGCGUUAGAGUAUUGAAGUGUGUGUUCGUUAGAGCAGCGGUCCCCAACUCUUUUGUUUUUGCGCCACGGACCGGUUUAAUAUCAGACAAUAUUUUCACGGACCGGACGUCAAGGUGUGGUGGAUAAAUACAACAAAAUAAAAUGAUACCGGCAUA